UGACAUGAUUUCUCUUGUAUUUCUUUUCUUUCUUUAGUUUUUUUUUUUAAUUUAAAAAAAAUGCUAAUUGAAAAAGAUAGCAGGUUUUUUUUUUUUUUCAGAAAGAAGGUCCUUCUUCUUCUUCUUCUUGUGCUGCUAUUUGCUGACCGUCUGUGUCUUCUGGAACGGAGACACCGGUCCUUAUAUACCCGUGCCGCCACUGGGACACUGAAGACACAUGGCCCAUCCUCCUGCUGAAGAAAUAUUAGAUACAGCACGCAGGCGGGUGUAGGUGAGUUGAGAGGGCUACCACCUACUCUCUCUAUAUGCACACAUCUCUCCCUUUCUCUGCUUGUGUGUGUGUGGGGGGUUUACCAAUGAAAAUAUAUAAGCCAUCACACCUUUUUUCAACCGAAAGAUGCCCAGCAGCGGUGAAAGCAUCUGUUUGUAGCGCAGGUGAACGCUGGAAUUCACGCAACGAUAAUUCGUUUAUUGGCUAUCCGCAUUGCGAAAAAAAAAAAAAUAAUAUAACGUUCUUCUUCUUUAAAUAAGUAUUAAAUUAAAGUUUGAGAAAAAAAAAAAAACAAACAAAACUUGAUUUGUUUAAUGGAAGGGGACGAGAUUGAAACGGAACAAAAGGUGAAUGACGAUGACCUAGAAAAAUGAGAGAACCUGAAAAUGCUGCUCUUUCUUGUGCCUAUUUUGAAUGAAAUCAGGAGAAAGAAAAAGUUCGGCGUGAUCCCCUUCACUUUCACCCCCAUUUUUGCUCGUAACACAGCAGCGGACAGACGAGAAAAGGAAUGCACCGUGAGUGUGUUGCCGAUUGCGGUGCAUUGAUCCCAUUCACGCUGCGCCCAAAGGGAAAGGGGGGGACGCAUAAUUGAGAAGGAAUUCCGGAACUGCGGGCGUGUGUAUUACAAUUGUCAUCAUUAUUUAUGAACCGAG